UACGUAGGGUGCGAGCGUUGUCCGGAAUUAUUGGGCGUAAAGGGCUCGUAGGCGGUUUGUCGCGUCGGGAGUGAAAACCCAGGGCUUAACUCUGGGCUUGCUUUCGAUACGGGCAGACUAGAGGCAUGCAGGGGAGAACGGAAUUCCUGGUGUAGCGGUGAAAUGCGCAGAUAUCAGGAGGAACACCGGUGGCGAAGGCGGGUCUCUGGGCCGUAACUGACGCUGAGGAGCGAAAGCGUGGGGAGCGAACAGG
rnacentral:rRNA from 1 species